UACGAAGGGGACUAGCGUUGUUCGGAAUCACUGGGCGUAAAGCGCACGUAGGCGGAUAUGUCAGUCAGGGGUGAAAUCCCGGGGCUCAACCUCGGAACUGCCCUUGAUACAGCAUGUCUUGAGUCCGAUAGAGGUGGGUGGAAUUCCUAGUGUAGAGGUGAAAUUCGUAGAUAUUAGGAAGAACACCGGUGGCGAAGGCGGCCCACUGGAUCGGUACUGACGCUGAGGUGCGAAAGCGUGGGGAGCAAACAGG
rnacentral:rRNA from 1 species